AACCUCAACCUGGCUCUCUCGCACGGACAUUUCUGAUCCCCAGCCCCAUUGGCACCCCUACAAUUAACACAUACCACUACAUUCCCCAAUGCUACACAUCCCUUUGUAUCAUGCCCUUCUGCAGUUCUCACACCUAGGAACCUCCCUCCUACACACUGCUGCCACAUGACUAUAAGCUGGACACCUGUAACAACAUAAUGUAUUCAGCACAAAAGCUCGUACAGGAUCAUUUAUAUAUCCUAACAUCACUUUGUCGGGCAAAGACUCAACAUCAAAACUCAGAAGAACAGACAAUGACUCUUCUGUUUCACCACUCUCGCCACCCUGUCUGCGACGAGCAUCACAUACACCGGGAAUCUUCCCCUUCAGUUGGUCAACUUUUACAUUUACUGCUACCCCAGUAAUCACUCCUUUCAAUGGCACCCUUUUCUUGAGAGUGAAACAAUUCACAUUUCUUUCCCCCAUUCGUUUAGCUAACAUGCCGUGUGUCUGGCAGCAGCAUAGUGGUCUAGACUCUGCAGACAGCCACCCGGGCCACAUCCCUACCAACGUCAUCCCAGAAAGCACUGCUGGCUGUGGGCCCUGGGGUGGCAGCCCUGCAGGACCCCUAUAGACACGACAUGGUGGUCCGUUCUCGGCGAGACUACAGGACACCUGGCCCUCAUUACGCUCUGGGACAGAACAAGAGGAGACCCUGAGGUCCAUACCAUUCUAAUGUAUGGCACAAACUCUGCUGUCUGUCCUACUCAGUGUUUAUGUCCAUCCUGAUUCCUGAAAUACACAUCUCUACGAUUGGGUUAAGUUCUGUGGGAACAUAUAUGUCCAUUACUACACUUGUGUGUAGGUUUCAUCUAUUGGUGUGUUAGAGAGCGCCCACGGAUUAGGCUAUCCACAUUGGAUCUGUCCAAGAUGGCCUUCCUUCCAGAUGGAUCCUCAGGGAGAGAGUACUUGCGCUUCCUUGAGGACAAUACGGUGACCCCUGACUCAAGGGCAGAUGUGAAGUUUGUGGAUAAUGAAGAGUUGGUGUAUGUUAUGCAGAGAUACAGAGAGGUCCACGAUUUACUGCACAGCUUACUAGGCUUGCCCACUAACAUGCUAGGCUUCCAUGUCUGAUGUUGGUGGGAUUUGGAGGAUGAUGGAAGCAACAGGGGAAAGAGCCUCAGAUCCAAAGUCCCUUCCACCAGGUGGCCGAUUGAGAUAUGUUGGCACAACUGCCAUAUUGCAUCUCCAUCCCAAAGCCCUUGUUUGGAAGUGUACUUCGUCAGACUGCCAAGAACCUUGCUCUCCUCCAGGCCAAGGUGGCAAGACACGGUAGUGAUGACACCAUAGGCCUUGUUGAUCCAGACAGGAUGCUCUUGGGGUUCGACAUGUACGCUGUGGUGUGUAUGGGCUUCAGGCAGAAGUCUUCAUGCUUUUUGAUGUAUUUCAGAACUGCAGUUUCCUCUGCUUGGAGCAACAGUGAAGUGGGCAGAGCAGUACGGAUCUAUUUUCUUACAUCUGCAAGCAGAGUCUGAACAUCAGACAGGAUGGAAUUGUCUCCCUCAAUUUGUGCAAUGGCUACUGCUAUAGGUUUCAAGAGUUUCAGGCUGUUUACCACUCUCUCCCAAAAUACAUCAUCCAGGAGGAUCCUCUUGGUGGGUCUGUGAUAUGGCCAUUUCUUGGAGAGACUCUUUCCCCUCCAGGAGACUGUCAAACAUGACAACACCACCCCAAGGGGUGUUGCUGGGCAGCUUCAAUGUGGUGCUCUUAUUCUUCUCACUUUGCUUGGUGAGGUAGAUUGCUGAAGAUGACCCUUCACAUACCUAACCAUUUCAUUGGCUCUCUUGUAGAGUGUAUCCAUAGUUUUCAGUGCCAUGAUGUCCUUGAGGAGCAGAUUCAAUGCAUGAGCAGCACAGCCAAUGGGUGUGAUGUGAGGGUAGGACUCAACUUUAGAUCAAGCAGCCUUCAUUGUUCACAGCAUUGUCUAUCACCAGUGCAAAUACCUUCUGUGGUCCAAGGUCAUUGAUGACUGCCUUCAGCUCAUCUGCAAUGUAGAGACCGGUGUGUCUGUUGUCCCUUGUGUUAGUGCUUUUCUAGAAUACUGGUUGAGGGGUGGAGAUGAUGUAGUUAAUUAUUCCUUGCCCACGAACAUUCAACCACCCAUCAGAGAUGAUUGCAAUACAGUCUGCUUUCUCUAAGAUUUGCUUGACCUUCACUUGAACUCUGCAUCCAGCAAAUGAGUAGAUAAAGCAUGUCUGGUUGGAGGGGUGUAUGCUAAAUGGUAUAUAUAAUUCUAUAUAUAUAUAUAAAUAAAAAUAAUGUAUUGUGUCAUUUUGGCGUCACUUGUAUUGUAAAUAAGAAUAGAAUAUGUUUUUAAACACUUCUACAAUAAUGUGGAUGAUACUAGUCUUGGGCGGUAUACCAUAAAUCGGGGUAUUUGGAAAAAGCCACAGGAUGGUUUUUCAACACCAUCAAUGCCAUUGAAACUAUAUAUAUAUAUAUUUUUUUUUAAUACAGUUGAAUAUUUGUAGAUACUUUAAGUAAAUAAAUACCUGCAGCCAACUUGUGCGAUACUUUAGCAGAAAAAAAACAUUGCGUUCAUUUCACCUGUUACAAUAUUUAUGUAGCUUAGCGUAGUCCCCAGUCACAUGGUGUUUGCUUACUAGAACACAACAUGAGAGACCGGAACCUUGUGAGUCCCUCACUGUUGGUGCAGUAUGCGCCAGGUGAUCUAAGUACAGUAUGGAAUUCACAACUAAAUGUUUGACAGCUAGAUACAGUAUCUUAUAACUAUUAAGUUAACUGUUGCUUCCCACAAUGUUAACAAUAUUCCAUACCGCACUUCUUGACACCCACCUGCUUAACCCAGCCGCACCAAUGAGUCAGAGGAAGCACUGUUCAACUGAUGACCGAGGUGCAAUGAGCCAAGUAAAGCCCCCCGGCCAAACCCUCCCCGAACCCAGAUGACGCUGGGCCAAUUGUGCGCUGCCCUAUGGGACUCCCGAUUACGGCCGAUUGAGAUACAGCCCGGGAUCGAACCCGGGUCUCUAGUGACGCCUCCAGCACUGCGAUAUAGUUCUUUAGACCGCUGUGCCACUUGGGAGGCCCCCGGACUUAAUUUCUAAUGACAAAGUGUAGUCGGGCCUGCUGACACUUUCCACAAACAAACAGUGCUUGUCAUUGCUUGUGGGAAAGCUCUCCCCAUACACUCUACACACAUUUUUAAGGGCGUACUGUAGUUGACAAUUUUUUAGUGGGAGGAUGGUGCUCCAUAACCUCUUAUGCAUCGGCUGUGGCUUAGCCUAGCUAUCUGCGUCUGCAUUGGGUCCGCUUCUGUCAUGUUUCCGAGGGGAUUCUUUUUUAUGAGCACAAUUCCCACCUUUUAAGCCCUGUCUACCUAAAUUCAUGAUUUUUUGCGAGUUGUCUGUCUGAAGAGCACCCUCCCCGGAACUUUUCUUUCUCCCUUUUCAAAAUAGCCAAGAGAAUCCCACACGAUCCCCUGACCUAGUGCUAGGAUUUCCGAGUAUAUUAGGUGGGACUUUCAGUCCCGUCAAUGACACAUCGCUUCGUAGGUUUUUAGAAUUUAAAUCAAAUUGCGUAUGAAAAUGAAAUACUUCCAGAAACUGAAUUUCCUGAAAGUUUCAUAAUGAAUUUAAAGGGGGUAUUGUCUGAGUAUUAACAUCAGCUGUAAAUGCCUCCUUCUCUGUUGUACAAUAACUAUUGGCAUCAGUCUGGUAUUUGUAAAGUAAUGUGAUUAUUUCGGCAUGACUGUUUCCUUGUGGCUCUCCCAGUUGUCUGGAAUCCCUGGUGACGUCCCUGGGGACGUGGGCUGUGAGGAAUGGCCGACAGGCUCGCUGUGUCCUCAGCAUCUUCUACGAGCGAUGCUGGGAGCAGAGUCUGUAGGACCUAAGACUGGAACUGAACAUCGAGCCCCCCUUGCUGACCAUCACAGCUUCCAGCCAGAGACCACAUCAGACUCAUAGCACUGACCUCUGAUGUCACACUGUGUCUGGUCACACUGUGCAACCAGAUGGUAGAGGAUGCAGGAACUAUUUGGAGUGAUGUGAUGUUGGAAUUUUGUGGGCUGAAUGUAUUAUGGCAAUUGUGUCAAGCUUACCCAUGUUUCAAAGUGAAUAAUGGUGAAGGAAGGAAAGGCCUAUAUUCAAAAUGGGGGCAGGGGAUUUCCAGAGGCAUUACCAGAGAGAGAUUGUUUCCCCCUUACCAAGGUUGAGAUCAUUUCCCCUUGACAAUGGUUAAGUACAUUAUGACCUGACAUUGAGUAGAAGGGACAUUUUUGGAACAAAACCUUGUUGAGGGUCUUGUAUUACCCACUGCCAUUCUUCAAGCGACAAGUCAUUACCUAGGUUGGACAAACCAAGGACAUGCAAGAGCUUGUUGCUGCUGGUUACACCAGUGGUGGCUUAGUCAUGUCUGGUAUCAUUCAGACGCUGAGACUGGUUCUAUCUGACAUUUCCUUCUCUUAUAACUCAAGGUACAUCACCCACCUGGUACUGUAAUGACUGUCAAUCAUUGACUGCGUUUUAUUUGACAAUGUGUGUGUUCAUGACAAGCACAGCACUGUUCAUGUAUCUCUGGUGUGAGAUGUCACUUAUCAAUAAAUUGUUUGCACUUUGUUGAAA